rnacentral:rRNA from 1 species
AGAGUUUGAUCCUGGCUCAGAUUGAACGCUGGCGGCAUGCUUUACACAUGCAAGUCGAACGGUAACAGGGAAAAGCUUGCUUUUCUGCUGACGAGUGGCGAACGGGUGAGUAAUACAUCGGAACGUGCCCUGUAGUGGGGGAUAACUACUCGAAAGAGUGGCUAAUACCGCAUACAACCUGAGGGUAAAAGUGGGGGACCGCAAGGCCUCACGCUAUAGGAGCGGCCGAUGGAAGAUUAGGUAGUUGGUAGGGUAAAGGCCUACCAAGCCGACGAUCUUUAGCGGGUCUGAGAGGACGAUCCGCCACACUGGGACUGAGACACGGCCCAGACUCCUACGGGAGGCAGCAGUGGGGAAUUUUAGACAAUGGGGGCAACCCUGAUCCAGCAAUGCCGCGUGAGUGAAGAAGGCCUUCGGGUUGUAAAGCUCUUUUGUUUGGGAAGAAAUCCCUAAGGAUAAUACCCUUGGGGGAUGACGGUACCAAAAGAAUAAGCACCGGCUAACUACGUGCCAGCAGCCGCGGUAAUA